GGUUGGGGGCACCCAAAGGGUAUAGAACACGUCCUCACCGCCCUGAGAUAAUAGUAUUGGGGACAGAGCAUAAAAGUUGAACACAGUCAUCAUUACCAGUCGACUAGCUUUUUAGGCCUUGAGUGAAAUUGUAGGUGUAGUUCAUUCAUGAAUGAGUCUCUAUUAAUAAGUAUUUUACCAUGAUUGUUUACCAUACUUAGAAUUACAUAACGGGCCCCUUAUAUAUUUAUGAAGAAAAAUGCUUCAGUUAAAACUCAAGACAGUUCACAAUCACAGAUCUUAUGUAUUUAUAUGCUACACAGUUUGUGAUAAAUAACAAAGGUCACAGCUUUUAGUUAAAACAACUCUAAAAUCUACAGUGAAAAAUCCAAAAGAUAACAGGUCAAUCUUUAAACAGAUGCUGUAAAGCAAACUUGAAUCUAACCAAGGAAGGAAGGCCUUAUAAGCUUUACACAUUGUGUCACAAAUGUCCCUCAUGGACUUCAUGCUGUAUUGGGUCCUAAAAGGUCAACUUCUGACCUCAGGGUCAACAUCCUAAAGGCCACAGAAAUACAACGAUCUGAUUGGACCGUCGGAAACGCAUGCGCACCAUGCGCCGGGCGGGACAAUUACAAAAAGUCGUUACGAGAUAUGAGAUCAGACAUGACUACGGGGUUUUACGUAUCGCUUUCUACGCUACAAAUGGCACAAGGAGUCUGCUAUGGUCGGUCAGCAAUUUGGGAGAGGCUUGUGAGUGUAGGGGGAAUAUGGUGUAAGCUCAAACGGACGGAAAAUUAUCGUGAAUGAUGUUUUAGUUGUACGUUUGGCGGCCGCCCCCCUCCCACCCUGGGCGGCGCACCCCUCCCGCAGGAUCCAACGUGUACUUCGGUGAGUAGAAAAUAUAUAGACUGUGCUUGCCUUUCAGUGUGCUUCGUUUUUUAAGCAAAAAGUAGGUUCGCUUUUGCUUUUCCCACUUGUUUUGUUAUUGACAUGUAAUCGUUAGAAACAAAUUUGUCUCCAACUAACCUGCCCCCCUCCCCCAUUUAAUAGGAAAAUGUAUUGGACAACAGGCAUUUAGUAUCUGGUUUUAUGAUACAAAACAGCAACAGCACUUGAUGGGUGAAUAAUUGUGCGUUGAUAAGAGAAUUAAUUUGUAGUCACAUACAUACUGUUAAACUUGAAACCAGUAGGAUUAAAUUAAUGCUUCCAAAUGAUUAUAUUUAAUAGAUUAUACUAGUACUAUACAUAUUUAAAUAUAUUUAUUCAUGUAUUCGUUCAAAUCAUGGCUGGCAUCACACAGCCAAGGCUGUCGAUCUAGUUGUGACUAUUAUUAUCAAGGGCUAACCUUUAACAAUUUGAACACUGUUCAGUAACUGACAGUUGUUUGGUCACUAAUUUGAUGACUAUUAUAUUUAAGGUAUGGAUUUAAGUCACGGUGUGUAUGUAUUAAAUUCAGGGAUGGCUGGAUCUGAUUGUGUCAUUAUUUCCCUUUUUAUAUGCCUCCAGUACAGCUGCAGUAGAUACCUCCUUCAGACAUGCAGCACAAGUUGUGAGGGUGGAUAGCCAGAAGUAAAGCAAGGAUCAGCCAGAAGUUUAGCUGCUGAGUACUUCAAUGCUGCUACACACUCCAUAGGAACUGACUCACCACACAAAGGACUCCAAACUCAUGCCAAGAAGUUCAGCAUUCAGACACAGAAGAAGGCAGCCUGUGCUUGUUUGGACCCUACAAGGAGUGCUUCGCAGCAGUGGACUUGAAUAUAGAUGACAAGAGGAUGUCUGUACGCAGUUCCACAGAAUGUACUAGUAACUCAGGUGUUCACAGUUUGGCUGGACUUUAAAAGUUUACUCAUCUGUAUUUCAAUAUCUUUAUUGACAACAACUUUGUUCUUUUAUGUGAUUGCUGUUAACCUAAGGGCCACUAAAAUCUUCAUAGCUUUGAAGACUUCCAGUAUGAAGCAAAUUGUGUUUCACUGUUGUGUGAUUGUAUGAACCGUGUGAUUAUGAUACAUUUUACAUAAUUGUCAGAAUUACAUUGUACCUACACAGGUCCCAUACAAUAUGCUUGUACCUGCAUAUACAGGUGGUAUUUUGAGCCCUGACAUGCAUCUGACCCUCACCCUUCUCCAAAGGAAAUGGAUUUCUUAGCCAGAUCACUGGGUUGUUUUUAAUCUGUUAUGAACUUAUUAAUUCCCCAAUCUAUGAAGUUUCGAAAAUGAUGAAUUGUUGCUUGAAUAAACAUGUAGCAUCCCAUGAUGCUAAUACUAGUAAUAGGAUCAUGUUGGCAAAGUGUAAAACAAUACAGGCCCCAUUAAAUGUUACAUAAGUCUUUCAUAGGUCAUUAAUGCACUGCAUUUCAGUGUCAUGUUACUGUUUCUUUCAUUCAUCUUGAUCAUAGUUGCACAUUUUGCUUUUUACAUUUGUUAACAGUGACAGCAUAGUUUGGAUGUUGCACACAAUAUAUGAUACAACUGUUACAGUACACAGUAAGUACAUUGCAAAUUCUUAACUGAGUGCUUAAGUUAUUGUAGUCUCCAACUUCCAAGCAGACAUGUCAGUUUGUCCAAGUAGGGACAAAUAAGUUUCCAUGGGAUUUCUGUCCUUUGUAGUCUAUUCAGUUAUCUGCCUGCCAGUUGGUUCACUCCUAUUACUCAAGUCCCCUAUUAGUAUUUGACCAAGCCAGAGUCUGGUAGAGACUGGGCUAAUUGCAGAUGAAAUGUGAUGGGCAAAUAGUGUAUGGCAAAAAUAUUGUAUAUAAUUUCUAAAGCCUGUUUGUCAGUGCACAAUGACGGAGACUGAUGAUAGGUUUAGAUAGUGUGUGAUGAUAAAAUACUUUCUUAAAUAUCAUCCAUGAUAAAAGCUGCUUGUAACUGAUUAGCUUGUACACAGGACAGUUGACCAAUGUUCAAUCAUGCUAUUAACAUUAGCUAUAUAGCUUAUAAGAAAAGGCCACAAUUGUAUAUCUGUUAUUUAUCUGUUUACCCUUUAGAAAUCCUAACUGUCAUUGUUGAUAUGUUUAUCCAAUAAAUAAUGCUGAGUUUGGCCACAAA